AUUGAACGCUGGCGGCAGGCCUAACACAUGCAAGUCGAGCGGAUGAAGGGAGCUUGCUCCUGGAUUCAGCGGCGGACGGGUGAGUAAUGCCUAGGAAUCUGCCUGGUAGUGGGGGAUAACGUCCGGAAACGGGCGCUAAUACCGCAUACGUCCUGAGGGAGAAAGUGGGGGAUCUUCGGACCUCACGCUAUCAGAUGAGCCUAGGUCGGAUUAGCUAGUUGGUGGGGUAAAGGCCUACCAAGGCGACGAUCCGUAACUGGUCUGAGAGGAUGAUCAGUCAACCGGAAAUGGGAAAACGGUCCAGACUCCAAGGGAGGGCAGCAUUGGGAAAAUUUGAAAAUGGGCGGAAGGCCUGACCAGGCAUGCCGCGUGUGUGAAGAAGGUCUUCGGAUUGUAAAGCACUUUAAGUUGGGAGGAAGGGCAGUAAGUUAAUACCUUGCUGUUUUGACGUUACCAACAGAAUAAGCACCGGCUAACUUCGUG
rnacentral:rRNA from 1 species